GCCAGCCUGGGCUACAUAGUGAGUUCAAGGACAGUCUAAAUGACAUAGUGAGAUCUUGUCUCAGAGAGAGAGAGAGAAAUUUGGACACAGACAUGCACAGAAGGAAAGCAAUGUGAAGAAACACGAAGAGAGGGUAAAAAAGCCAUGUGAUGAUGGAGACGGAGACUGGGGUGAUGCUGCUGCAGGCCAGGGAGCACCUGACACCACCAGAAUCUAGAAAGAGGAAAGGAAGGAUUCUACCCAGAGUCAGAGAGAACAUGGCCCUUCUGACACCUUGAUUUUAGACUUCUCAUCUCCAGAACUGUAAGACAGUUAGUCUCUGCCAUUUUAAACUGUCCAGUUUGUGCUACUUUGUUGUGGCAGCCCUGGGAAAUGCAUACAAGCACCAAGUACUACAAUAGCUAUAACUGUAAUAUUUAUGGAAGGGGGAAGGAAAGGGGAAGAAGGGAGGGAGGAAGGAAGAAAGGAAGAAAGGAAGGAAUGAAGGAAGGAAGGAAGGAGAGAGAGGAGAGAGAGAGAAAGAGAGAGAGAGAAAAGACAAGAAAAGAAGAAAAUGCAACUCUCUCCCUAUCACCUGACCCUCACAUAUCAUUCCUGAGAAAAAGUGGGACAUGGUCCUGAGAUGCCUUUUGUAUUCCCAAGAUUCUUGUCAAGUCAAAGGGACAUUCGACACUUUGAUUAGUGUUUGAUGGAAUAACUGGAAGCCUAUCAAAUUGACACAUCAAAGGGAUCAUCACAAAAUGAAAGUGGCUCACUAAGGACCCAGUCCUCUGCCCAACUGGAGACCACCACCUCCCAUACAUUUCAGAAUGGAUGGCAGUUGAGGAUCUAUGGAGUUAAGUAGGUCUGGGACACCUGGACAUUCAUUCAACUGCUCUGCUCCACUCUUCUCUGAAAUUAGAAGCUCCUUAAUAACAAAGACUGGGAUUCUGUAUUUAUAUUUAUAUUUAUCAGGCUCUAAGCUAUUAUUCUUUGUACAGAAGAUGAUCAGGGAAUGUUUAUACAAAAAAUUUUGUCUUUAUUAACAGUCUCCCUUUUUUUAACCUGCCCUAGCCACUUGGACAGCUACCACUUUAUCAAUUUAGAUAUUGCCACAAUUCACAUCCUGCAAUGGUAUCAUAUAUAGCAAAGUGGCCUUGAAGGGAUUAUAGGAAAUCAUCCUAGGGAUAGUAAGACAGGAGAUUCGGGCAUGGCCAACUGGCUGGGCAAAUGGGAGUAACCUGUCAAUCACAGAGAUCCAGUCCACAUACAUAGAAAACAGUUCUCAUGCCCUAAACUUGGGACUAAUAAGAAAGUGCUACUUUCAAUUCUGGUGCAAAAUAAGCAGGUUUGAAGAAUGGAG
ensembl:lncRNA